CGACGUGUGGGUUUGAGUUCCUCCCUGUUAAACACGUUGCGUUGCAAAUUAAGCAGUAUUAUGCUGCGAGACACGGAGAAACCAUCGCAAAAAUGUUUUAAAAAACAAAGUUAACGAGAAACAUCCUCCAGUGAUGGGACCACUUUGAAUACAAAUGUAAAGCCUUUGACUUCUUUCUCGUCCUUCAGACGAAACGCAAAGCYGCACCAAGGUUUGUGAAGACUAUAAUAAGUGCAGUUGUUUUCUGGGUGUGGAUUUUUACAAUGUGGUUUGUUUUUGUUUCUCUGGAAAUAGAGAUCUGCAGAACAACGAAAUCUCCUGGACCAUUGAAGACAUGAAUGGACCAUUUUCUGCUCUGGACAAACUGAGGAAACUGUUCCUUCAAGGAAAUCAAAUCCGCUCGGUGACCAAGAAAUCGUUCUCUGGCCUGGACACACUGGAGCACCUAGAUUUGAGUAACAAUGCGAUCAUGUCAGUCCAAGGGAAUGCCUUUGUGCAGAUGAAGAAGCUUGAGGAACUG